rnacentral:tRNA from 1 species
GGGGAUAUGGCUUAGUUAGUAGAGUGCUUGCCUUGCAUGCAAAAGGUCCUGGGUUCAAUCCCCAGUACCACA